UACGAAGGGUGCAAGCGUUACUCGGAAUUACUGGGCGUAAAGCGUGCGUAGGUGGUUUUUUAAGUCCGUUGUGAAAGCCCUGGGCUCAACCUGGGAAUGGCAGUGGAUACUGGAAAGCUAGAGUGCGGUAGAGGGUAGUGGAAUUCCCGGUGUAGCAGUGAAAUGCGUAGAGAUCGGGAGGAACACCAGUGGCGAAGGCGGCUCACUGGCCCGAUACUGACGCUGAGGCACGAAAGCGUGGGGAGCAAACAGG
rnacentral:rRNA from 1 species